AUAAGGGAUCAUAGCUUUCACCUGGAUUCACCUGGUCAGUCUGUCAUGGAAAGAGCAGGUGUUCUUAAUGCCUUCUAGCGGGAUGCAAUAGAGCUAAAUGGGGGUUAGAGUGCCCUAUGGCUACACUCUUAGAAAAAAGGGUUCCCAAAGGGUUCUUUAGCUUUCACCAUUGAAGAAACCCAUUUGGUUCCAGGUAGAACACUUGUUGUUGUUACAGGUUAUAUAUAGAAAGGGUUCUACUGCAUCAUCCACAGUCUGCUGAGGAUAAAGCAGUUCUGCUUGGCGCUGACAUAUCUAUACUGGAUCAGACCAGCCACAGACAGCCCCUACAACCUCAAGCUCUCUGUCGAUGUACUCCUACAGAACAGCCAUAUCUCAGAUGCCUGGUUCCUCCUAAAGAAAGGCCACACAGGAAGUGAUGACAUGUCAGGUACUUCCUCAAUGGAUGUGAGAGGCUUGGUCUAUGUGUGGAGGCUUCAGACUGCAUGGAAGCAGUAUGGAAGGAUGUAGGCCAUUGUACUAAUCAGUCGGAAGAGACUGAGAGUCAGUGUGGAAUAGAGGGGCUUCCUCAGCGUUGGUGGACCACAGGGAUCCCUUUGGCAGUGAAAGAGCCAGGGGUUCCUAUUCGUCUGUUCUCUGCCCUGCAGUAUCAGUCUCAGAACAGCAACACUCUCUCUCCAGAGGAUUGGAUCAGACUCCUCAGGGAAUCUAUGAUUUAACUCAGACAACUCCAGCCAACAUUGAGUUCUCUGCUGCCAACGACUGGAACAAACUGCAGAAAUCGCU